UAUUGUUAUUUGAUUGGCAUG
ensembl:piRNA 21ur-3502 ncRNA